rnacentral:rRNA from 1 species
UACGAACCGAGCGAACGUUGUUCGGAAUCACUGGGCUUAAAGGGCGCGUAGGCGGGCCGCCGCGUCCGGGGUGAAAUCCUCCCGCUCAACGGGAGAACGGCCUCGGAUACGGGCGGCCUGGAGGGGGGUAGGGGCGUGCGGAACUGUGGGUGGAGCGGUGAAAUGCGUUGAUAUCCACAGGAACUCCGGUGGCGAAGGCGGCACGCUGGACCCCACCUGACGCUGAGGCGCGAAAGCCAGGGGAGCAAACAGG